AAAUGGUUUGGGGCAAGCCUCUGCAACCUCCAGAUGAGCAAACCCUUGGUUCCAUUGUAGGCCUACCAUAGAAAUCCAUUCAGAAUUGUGUAUUCUUGCGUAACAAUUCAAAAGCUUGCCCCUAAUCAUGUGACAUACAUGUAGCAACUGUCACGAUAGUCUUAGAAAUACAAAUUUUAAGUAGUAACUUGUGACCAAUGACUUCAUUGUACUAGACGAUAUUCAAAUGGAGCAGGCAUAUAUGGCUUAUUGAUCCCAAGGUAGGGAGGGGAUCGGGUGGGGUUGGUAGGGUACGAUCACUGGCAGCAUGAAGUGCAUCUCUUGACGAGAGUGGUGAAGAGCAGUCAGGAGGAGGCAGUGGACAGAGUCGCAGGACUGAGAAAAUGAAGUAACAUCUUUGGUGAGAAACAUGGACUGGGCGGAGGCAGGAUGGAGAGGACAGCAUCUCUUCUGAGGACAUCAAGUUUGAUUCUGAGGAUGACGUCUUGUGGAAUAACCCUUACAUGUGGGCAUGAAGACUUUUGUCACAGACUUUUUGUCAAAAGCCUAAAAGCACUGAUUGGCAACAGGUGGUGUCUCUCUGCAACACAAUUAUGGAACAAAAAGCCGCUUAGUUUGGUCAUGCAGUACGACAGGGUGGCCUGUCAGCAGCAGUGCUUGAUGGAAUCCCAAUUUGACACCGUCGCGGGGUUGUCAGACCAAGACUCCCCUGGAUCGACGACCUCGCCAGGUGGAGUGGCCUCAGAAUGGCUGAACUAACUGCGCGACCCAACAGCGAUGCAAAAUCACACCUGCACCAACCACACAACCAAGGAGCAGUGGACGGUUGUUGCAUCAAGUGGGCACAGUAGCCUUGACGUUUUGAUAAUGAUGAAGUCACUUCUCCAUAACUGCUCAUGUGUGCUGACUAAAGAAUGGUACAACUUUACAGAUUGGCAGGCAGAUGCAAUUAGUGGAUUCUAGUUGGAUUGUGGAAGUCCUUGUGGAAGUCUUUGCGGAUGCAAUGAGUGGAUACUAGCUGGAUUGUGGAAGUCCUUCAGGUGCAUCUACGGAGGAGGUCUAGGGGAGAAAGAGAAAGAAUCCUGAAGAAUCGGUUGCAGUUGAAAAUCUACAAUCUAAAGUAUAGUCUACUUAUGAUGAUGAGGUGACACAUUAAAAAAUUCAAGCUUAUGCUUAACACCUUGAAUGGAUUCUACAAAAAAAAACAUCUUCUUGCUCUACACUUGGAGACAGUAACAUAGCCUUUGUAGCAACUUGGACACACACAAAAAGAAGUCUGACAGCAUUGCCAAGAUGAACUUCAAUUAAAAGCUGUCUGUAGCACACAACACAAGAGACUUCGGUCCCCACGGAUCCUGUCGGAGUAGCAUCCCAUCAUAAUCUUGUUCUCGUUGGGCAGACGGACUUUACCGCCCUCGUGGGACUCACUGCGAAAGGCCUCGUUGACAUCCAAGGAAGUUCACUGGGCGAAUAACAAGACCCGAUAAAAUGUCUCUUUAGCCAUCUGCGAGAUCAGGGAUACUCCAGGGAAAGAUCGAGAAG